GGUGUCGCCCAGGCUGGCAGGUUAGCAGGCUGGCUGAUGCCAGUGGAGCCGCCAAAGCCGGACCCCGCGGCAGCAGAGGAGAGAGGAGAGGGCGCAGCGCGGUUAGGGUGCGAGGCUGAGACUCCUCCCUCGGCGCAGCUCCAGCGCAGGGAUUCCCCCCUCUCCGGCAGGCCAUGUGACCUGCGAGCUGCUGCGCGAUUGCGAGCCCCCAAAGCUGGUUUAGGGUGGGGUGGGGAGGACAAAAGAAGCCAAUUGAUGAGCAGCUGAGGAAAAGCAGGGGUCGCCCUCAAGUCAUGGGAGCUGGGAGCGUGUCCCUUCUGUGAGGGGAAAAGAAGCCAGCAUUUUAUUCCGUCAGGUACCAGACUCCUGCAGUUGGUUCCAGUACCCACCCGUCCAGUAUGCGACCCAGGCGUGAGAAAAUAUGUUAAGAGGCAGAACUAGGAGAGUAAAAGCAGGAAGACCAAUGCCCGUGUAACCAACAAAGGCACUGGCCAGUCCCAGACACUGACUUUUAUUGGCAAUCGAUUGGGAUAAAGAAAGAAGAGGAGAUAGCAGAGAAGACCAGUGCAAAGCAGAAACUUAAUUGCAAGAAGAAGUAGUGCAAAGUCACUCUGAAGGAGUGGGGGCUGCCGGAGCUGGGUCACUGCUAAGUGUGGGCCAGCAGUCCUGUUUUAUGGGAACACUACAGACUGAGCACUUCAUACAGAACAGAAACUUAUUUCUUAUUGACCUGGAGGCUAGGAAGCCUAAAAUCAAGGGACCUGUGUCUGGGAAGGGCCUUCAUUCUGCACCAUCCUGUGGUGAAAGUUAGAAGAGAGGGAGAAAGAAUGGGAAAAAAGGACCAAAGUAUCUUUUUUAUCAGGACCCCGCUCCUGCUGUAAUGAACCCACUCUAUCCAUGAAGAGCCCUCAAAGCCUAAUCAUCUCUUAAAGCUUCCGCUGCUAUUGACAACCAAGAUCCCAGAGAAACACACCCAGAUGAAAAGCCUACAUUUCCAAGCCAUUUUGCAAGGGUAGUGAGUGAGAUAAAAGAAGACAUAGUUUAGUGAAUUAUCCAGGAAAUUAUCCAGCUUUUCCUGCUGCUUAGAAUACAGAAGUGAAGGUUGGAACUUCUAUAGCCACCUUGGAGCAGAAAGGGAUCUUGCAAAGAAAGGCCCAUGUUGCAAAUGUUACAAUGACAUGACAGAAAAUCAUGGAAUAUCAGGCUACGUAACUCACUCAUGGUGGCCAUCUUUUGAUCCAUACUUCUGCCAACCAGCCAAA